GAUGAAGAACGUAGCGAAAUGCGAUACUUGGUGUGAAUUGCAGAAUCCCGUGAACCAUCGAGUCUUUGAACGCAAGUUGCGCCUCAAGCCAUUAGGUUGAGGGCACGUCUGCCUGGGCGUCACAUAUCGUUGCCUGAUGCCAGUUUCCUCGUGAUGGGUGACUGUGCAGGGCGAAUGACGGCUUCCCGUGAGCAUUGUUGCCUCAUGGUUGGUUGAAAAUUGAGUCCUUGGUAGGGAGCGCCGUGAUAGAUGGUGGUUGAGUGACGAACGAGACCCAAUCAUGUGAGACCCCUACCGAAUUUGGCCUUCAUGACCCACAUGCGUCUUUGGAACGCUCAUGACGAGACCUCAGGUCAGGCGGGGCUACCCGCUGAGUUUAAGCAUAUCAAUAAGCGGAGGA
rnacentral:misc_RNA from 1 species